ACUGCCCCUGCUCUGUGCAGUGCCCAGCCAGUGUCCUAAGCUCUUUGCCCUCCAGCUUCAGUGAAGAUGGGCCCCUGGCUUUGCUUUGCUUUCAUGGCAGCAGCUCUACAAGGUGCCUGGUCCCAGGUGCAGCUGGUAGAGUCUGGAGGGGAUGUGAGGAAGCCUGGAGACUCUCUGCGCCUCUCCUGCAAAGCCUCUGGGUUCACCUUCAGUAGCUACGGCAUGCACUGGGUCCGCCAGGCUCCUGGGAAGGGGCUGGACUGGGUCGCUACAAUUAACUAUGGUGGAUCCAGCCAGUGGUACUCCCCAGCUGUUAAGGGGCGAUUCACCAUCUCCAGAGACAACUCCCAGAACAUGCUGUACCUGCAGAUGGACAGCCUCAAACCCGAGGACACAGCCCUGUAUUACUGUGCCAGAGACACAGUGACUCAAACCCUAUCCAUGGCAAUACAAAAUUCCAGCUCAGAUCCUCCCUUCUAA